rnacentral:rRNA from 2 species
UGGGGAAUAUUGGACAAUGGGCGCAAGCCUGAUCCAGCCAUGCCGCGUGAGUGAUGAAGGCCCUAGGGUUGUAAAGCUCUUUCACCGGUGAAGAUAAUGACGGUAACCGGAGAAGAAGCCCCGGCUAACUUCGUGCCAGCAGCCGCGGUAAUACGAAGGGGGCUAGCGUUGUUCGGAUUUACUGGGCGUAAAGCGCACGUAGGCGGACUUUUAAGUCAGGGGUGAAAUCCCGGGGCUCAACCCCGGAACUGCCUUUGAUACUGGAAGUCUUGAGUAUGGUAGAGGUGAGUGGAAUUCCGAGUGUAGAGGUGAAAUUCGUAGAUAUUCGGAGGAACCCCAGUGGCGAAGGCGGCUCACUGGACCAUUACUGACGCUGAGGUGCGAAAGCGUGGGGAGCAAACAGG